GACGAACGCUGGCGGCGUGCUUAACACAUGCAAGUCGAACGGUAAGGCUCCAGCUUGCUGGGGUACACGAGUGGCGAACGGGUGAGUAACACGUGGGUGACCUGCCCUGCACUUCGGGAUAAGCCUGGGAAACUGGGUCUAAUACCGGAUAGGACCGCACCGUGAGGGUGUGGUGGAAAGUUUUUUCGGUGUGGGAUGGACCCGCGGCCUAUCAGCUUGUUGGUGGGGUAAUGGCCUACCAAGGCGGCGACGGGUAGCCGGCCUGAGAGGGUGGACGGCCACAUUGGGACUGAGACACGGCCCAGACUCCUACGGGAGGCAGCAGUGGGGAAUAUUGCACAAUGGGCGGAAGCCUGAUGCAGCGACGCCGCGUGGGGGAUGACGGCCUUCGGGUUGUAAACUCCUUUCGCCAUCGACGAAGGGUUUCUGACGGUAGAUGGAGAAGAAGCACCGGCUAACUACGUG
rnacentral:rRNA from 1 species